rnacentral:sRNA from 1 species
AGGACAGGGGGGUCUCUGCCGUGAGGCGGAGCCUGUCCGUCAGGUUGUGCGUGACGCGUCAGGCGCGACCAGUGGUUGUCGCUCGGGGGUGAUCGCCG